UAAUGGAAGCGGAGCUUCUGCUAUCCACCGGAUGAGCGCCCACCUUCUGUUUGUUAACAGUGCGUGGGCUUCACGCGCUGAUAGAACAGUCGUAUUUCGCGCGGUAAAAAGUAGUUUUACCAAUCUUACUAUUUCUACGACCGGUCAUUGUUUGAGAUUAGUUAGAUUACAAUAUCAGGACGUCCAUUUCUCAAAAAUAAAUAAAUAAAAUUUCCAAAAUUCAUCGGAGUCCAUUGCGAUAGAAGAAUUUCAUCCAGAAACCGUAGAUCUGCAACAGCGCCGGUCAAAUUCGAUCCGACUGUUGGUGUUGAAGAAGGAACAACUAUUGAGCUUGACGAAUGAGCAUGGAAAUCGAGAAGAUUGAUAGAAAAAGGCGAUUGUCUAGGGUCGGCUGGAUAUAGAUCAGCGUCCACUGCAUCCCCUCCAUCGGAAGAUCGCAGAACUGCCAAAGCCCCCAUCAAUUUCUAUGCGAUUGUUUGUGUAGCAGGCGGCGCUGAAGAAGGAGAAGAUACCGGGCUUGAGAAAUGAAACAUGGCUUUUCAGAAGAAGUCCAAAUCGAGGUCACCGAUUACCAGAGGAGGGGACGUUCUCCGAGUGAAUUGCAUUAAGAGUCCCCGGCAAGGCUUCAAUAUGAGUCCCUGGCAAGCAUUACAUAUGUGCAACCUAUCAGCGGUUUUGGCGUGGCUAAAUUUUUGGAAUCUGGGGAUGCAAAGUUUAAGCAAGGCGACUUGGUUUGGGGAAUGACUGGCUGGGAAGAGUAGUCUCAUCACUUCCAUUCAGUAUUUGUUAAAGAUUCCCGGCACCUAUGAUUUAUCUUCUUCUUCUUCUUUUUUUGUUUUGCACAGAUAUACUAUACCAUAUAUUUGAUGUACCAUACCUUUUAUUUUGACUAGAAGUGCCUUUGAUUUUUUUA